GUGCUUACUUCGGCAGCACAUAUACUAAAAUUGGAAUGAUACAGAAAAGAUUAGCAUGGCCACUGCGCAAGGAUGACAUGCAAAUUCGUGAAGCGAAAGAAAUAAAA
rnacentral:snRNA from 1 species